rnacentral:lncRNA from 1 species
GGUGGGGAGGGGGUCCCCAUCCUCACUAGGGACCAGCAUGGCCCAACUGGGGGUGGCCCAGUGCGGCCGGCGGUGACAGUGGGGGGGUCCCCAGGGUCCCCAGCUGCUUUUUCCAGGUGACACGCGCCGAAGCCGAGCGGCUGCUGGAGCAGAGCGCGGCCCGGGGGAAGCUGCUGCUGCGGCCCGGGGGACACGGCCAGGGCGUCUCGGUCACCACGCGGCAGGAGCUGGACGGGACAGUGCUGCUGAGGCACUACAGGGUGAAGAGAGAGGCCCAGGGCUACGUCAUCGACGUGGAGACCCCGCACCGCUGCUCGUCGCUGGCAGAGGUGGUGCAGUUCUUCGUGCAGAGCAGCAAGGGCAGCCUGCAGCCCCUGGAGCCCGAGUACAGCGCCCAGCUGGAGUUCGUGCCAGUGGAGGGGAGCCCCCCCCCGUUCAGGCCGGCCCUGAGGAGGGGCAGAGGCUCCCCCGGUUUGGGGCUGGUGCCCGAGGAGCAGAUCUACAUGAACGACCCCGGGAGUACCCAGGAGCUGCUCAGGGAGCUGCACAAGAAGCUGCAGCUGCGCCAGGCUCAGUGAUGGGGACACUCUGGGGGUGCCCGCUGGCCCCCACUCUGUGCCAGCAGCCAGCAGGAAAAUCUGUCCCCAGUGUCCCCUGGCCUGUGGUGACACCGGGGAGGGAACCCCCUCAUGUUUGGGGGGGGCACUGUAAAUAAAGAACCCUGUGCCCCCAUCCACAGCCAGCUCACACCUACAUCCCAAUUUAUUCUCCAGGCCAGAAGCAGCUCUGGGUGCGGG